AUGCAAACAGACUGGGGAGGUGAGUAUGAGAAACUCAACUCAUUCUUCCAGAAACUUGGCAUUUCUCAUCAUGUUUCUUGCCCUCACGCUCACCAACAAAACGGGUCUGCUGAAAGAAAGCACCGUCACAUUGUUGAUGUAGGGCUUGCAUUACUAGCUAAUGCAUCCAUGCCACUUAAGUUCUGGGAUGAAGCUUUCUUAACUGCUACAUAUCUCAUUAACUUGCUCCCUAGUAAGGCCAUCAAGCUUGAGACACCCAUCACACGAGUCCUUGGCAUAACACCAGAUUACACAUCACUUCGCAUCUUUGGUUGUGCAUGUUGUCCGAACCUUCAACCUUACAAUACACACAAACUCGCUUUUCGUUCAAAGAGGUGCGUUUUCUUAGGGUAUAGUCCCAUGCACAAAGGAGUCAAGUGCUUGGAUGUUCCUACAGGAAGAGUCUAUAUCUCGCGAGAUGUUGUAUUUGAUGAGUCCAUCUUUCCGUUUGCAUCUCUACAUCCCAACGCCGGUGCCCUGCUUCGAAAGGAAAUUCUUCUCCUUCCUGAAAAUCUCUGGAGUUUUGAUCAAGGGGGAGACAAUUGCACUGAUCAAUAUGAUGAUAAUAUUGCUAGCACCAGUUCUGCUCUUGUUCCUGUGCAGGUUCGCAGCGAAAACUGUGCCCAAAAUGAUGUACAAGAUGAUCAAAACGAGGGUUUAUUUCAUGUGCCGCAAGAAGACGAAAUUGGCGCUGAAAACGGAGCUGAUCCGGCGGCGCCAGCAACUCCUGUUCGCCUGUCAGCCUCGGAUCGCGGGACGCAAUCGUCCUCGGAUCGCAUUCCUGGCGGGCGCGGGUGCACUCCCUCAUCCAGCCAACCUCGCGCCGCCACGUCACAGGCAGGCGGGGGCGUAUCUCCCUCGUGCUCCACGCCAUGA
rnacentral:rRNA from 1 species